GACGAACGCUGGCGGCGUGCUUAACACAUGCAAGUCGAACGGAAAGGCCCUGCUUUUGUGGGGUUCUCGAGUGGCGAACGGGUGAGUAACACGUGAGUAACCUGCCCUUGACUUUGGGAUAACUUCAGGAAACUGGGGCUAAUACCGGAUAGGAGCUCCUGCUGCAUGGUGGGGGUUGGAAAGUUUCGGCGGUUGGGGAUGGACUCGCGGCUUAUCAGCUUGUUGGUGGGGUAGGUGCUUACCAAGGCUUUGACGGGUAGCCGGCCUGAGAGGGUGACCGGCCACAUUGGGACUGAGAUACGGCCCAGACUCCUACGGGAGGCAGCAGUGGGGAAUAUUGCACAAUGGGCGGAAGCCUGAUGCAGCAACGCCGCGUGCGGGAUGACGGCCUUCGGGUUGUAAACCGCUUUCGCCUGUGACGAAGCGUGAGUGACGGUAAUGGGUAAAGAAGCACCGGCUAACUACGUG
rnacentral:rRNA from 1 species